GGGGACACAGCUCAGUGGUGCAGUGCCUGCCUGGCAAGCGUGAGGUCCUGAGUUUGAUUCCCAGUAUCUCCC
rnacentral:tRNA from 1 species